rnacentral:lncRNA from 1 species
GUUUUUUCACCUGCUCGUGCUCCAGCCCGCAGGGAUGUUACUGUUUCCUGUAGUUGCUAACUCCAUGAGACCUUAUGUUCUGUUUGGCCUCUUCAGUUCCUCAGUGUCUAGCUAGUGACUAAGUGAAAGUCUCAGCAUAACCCAUGCGGUUUCUUCUCCUGGAGGCCCUCAGCUGACAAGGAGUACAUCAACUAGAGAGCCCUUGGAGAGCUUGACAUGUAUCCCCUACAGUUCUGGGAGCAGAGCAGAAGAAUGUCAUCCCACUCAGGAAACUCAGGGGCAAGAGGGUUCUCAAAAGAGCACCCCAUGAGACAGUCCAUUGUCAACACCUCCAGACCUGGAGAACAUGAAGUCAUCUUACUAUGGUACCAGUCAGGUGAAGAUGCUCCUGGCUCCCCUCUCCCUCUCCCUCUCCCACCUCCUCAGACUUCAAUCCUGAGGGUCCAAAAACAGUUUAGAAAGUUGAGGACAAGGGAGUAAACCGAAGCCAGAGCAGGAAACAGAUUAUAACUUCUUCCACACACCUGUAUCUCAUAGGAAACCCUUGUAGGGAAAGGAGAAGAGUCUUAAAAUCACUUUUUGACUUCCAAUUACUUAGGACUGACAGGAUAAGGGCCAAAUUGAGACAUUUGGUGAUUUAAAGUGAUGACCUCUUUUUACUUAAAAGUGACAGAGAGAGAGGGAGAGGGGG